rnacentral:rRNA from 1 species
UACAGAGGCUCCAAGCAUUACCCGGAAUCACUGGGCGUAAAGGGUGCGUAGGCGGUUGGGUAAGUCUGACGUGAAAUCUCCGGGCCUAACCCGGAAACUGCGUUGGAUAUUAUUUGACUAGAGGAAUGGAGGGGAGACUGGAAUACUUGGUGUAGCAGUGAAAUGCGUAGAUAUCAAGUGGAACACCAGUGGCGAAGGCGAGUCUCUGGACAUUUCCUGACGCUGAGGCACGAAAGCCAGGGGAGCAAACGGG